AGCUUAGUAUUUGUGUUAAAAAUUAGUUUUACAUACUUGAUUUUGACAUCUGGUAUUGGUGAUAUAGGUUUACUGCUGUUUGGGUUUUGUUUCUUUUUCCUUUUUAAACCUUCUGCUUUAGACUAACUUCUUUAAGUUGGUUGUCUUAGUAGUGUGUACUGGUAGCAGGGAUGACUUCCGAAUUCAGAAGGUCUCUUGACUCAUCCUUUCAAUGGGGACAAGUUAUAUUAGGUGUACAGGAAGUGCUCAUCUAGAGCACUUGUUAGUUUUUUUUUUUUUUUU